rnacentral:rRNA from 1 species
GGGGCAGGGUGAGUCGACCCCUACGGCGAGGCUGAAAGGCGUAGUCGAUGGGAAACGGGUUAAUAUUCCCGUACUUCUGCUAACUGCGAUGGAGAGACGGAGAAGGCUAGGCCGGCGCGGCGUUGGUAGUCCGCGUUUAAGGUAGUAGGUGGUGUGCUUAGGCAAAUCCGGGCACACAUACACUGAGAGCUGACGACGAGUCCCUA